rnacentral:misc_RNA from 1 species
GAUGAAGAACGCAGCGAAAUGCGAUAAGUAAUGCGAAUUGCAGAAUUCCAGUGAGUCAUCGAAUCUUUGAACGCACAUUGCGCCCUUUGGUAUUCCGAAGGGCAUGCCUGUUCGAGCGUCAUUAUCACCCCUCAAGCCCUCGGCUUGGUGUUGGACGGUUUGGUGGAGGCCCCCUCGGGGGCUCCUGCCCCUCCCAAAGACAAUGACGGCGGCCUCGUUGGACCCCCGGUACACUGAGUUCUUCACGGGACACGUAUCGGACACAUGGGUUUACGGGACACGGUAUGCCUCCCCUCAGGGAGAAUCUUUCUAAGGUUGACCUCGGAUCAGGUAGGGAUACCCGCUGAACUUAAGCAUAUCAAUAAGCGGAGGA